rnacentral:rRNA from 1 species
CAAUGAAUUUAUAAUUUAAAUGGCCGCAGUAAUUUGACUGUGCAAAGGUAGCAUAAUCAUUAGUUUUUUAAUUAAAAGCUUGUAUGAAAGGUUGGACGAGAUAAAAUCUGUCUCUAUUUAAUUUAUAGUAGAAUUUAAUUUUUAAGUUAAAAAGCUUAAAUAUUAAUAAAAGACGAGAAGACCCUAUAGAUCUUUAUAAUUUUUGUAAUAUAAUAAAUAUAGAUUAAUUAUAGUUUUAUUAUUAAAAUUAUUGUAUUGGGGUAAUAUAAAGAUUAAAAAAAUUCUUUUUUAUUAUUAACAUUAAUGUAUGGUUUAUUAAUGAUCCUUAUUUAAAGAUUAAAAGAUUAAGUUACCUUAGGGAUAACAGCGUAAUUUUUUUAGAGAGUUCUUAUCGAUAAAAAAGUUUGCGACCUCGAUGUUGGAUUAAAGAUUAUUUUAGGUGCAGAAGUUUAAAAUUUUGGUCUGUUCGACCAUUAAAUCUUUACGUGAUCUGAGUUCA